rnacentral:snRNA from 1 species
CGCUAACAACUUGGUUGAGAAGU